UACAGAGGUCCCAAGCGUUGUUCGGAUUCAUUGGGCGUAAAGGGUGCGUAGGCGGCGGGGUAAGUCGGGUGUGAAAUCUCAGAGCUCAACUCUGAAACUGCACUCGAUACUGCUCUGCUUGAGGACUGGAGAGGAGACUGGAAUUCACGGUGUAGCAGUGAAAUGCGUAUAUAUCGUGAGGAAGACCAGUGGCGAAGGCGGAUCUCUGGACAGUUCCUGACACUGAGACACGAAGGCCAGGGGAGCAAACGGG
rnacentral:rRNA from 1 species